CACGUAGGCACCAAGCGUUGUCCGGAUUUAUUGGGCGUAAAGAGCUCGUAGGCGGUUCAGUAAGUCGGGUGUGAAAACUCUGGGCUCAACCCAGAGACGCCACCCGAUACUGCUGUGACUUGAGUACGGUAGGGGAGUGGGGAAUUCCUGGUGUAGCGGUGAAAUGCGCAGAUAUCAGGAGGAACACCAGUGGCGAAGGCGCCACUCUGGGGCCGUAACUGACGCUGAGGAGCGAAAGCGUGGGUAGCAAACAGG
rnacentral:rRNA from 1 species